CGUGAGGGAAGCGGCCCCGCCGGGACACCCGCGGGCGGGCUGCGACGGGCGGCACCUGCGGACCGCGUCUGGCACCGCCCUCGGUAACGCCGGCGCCCAACCGGCGCGUCCCGGUCAGAGCGUCCGCCCGGAUGGGCUGGUCCCGGCGCUGCCGGCAGGGAAGGCGGGGAACAGAGCCCCCCGGGGAGGGCAGGCCCCCGGGCUCUCCUCCCUUUAUAGACGAAGCUCGGUGCCGUUUCCCUGCCCUGGGCCCCGGCCCGGGGGUGUAGAGGUGAUUUCCCCUCCGGUACUGCCGAGCUCUCGGGGGGCUGUGGCCCCCCUUUCAGAGCCCACUCCAGGGUGUGCAGCGCGAUGCUCGGCUGGAACGGCCGCUCCUGGCACCGUGCGGGGCGAGCAGCAGCUGCUAAUCUUGUGGAGCGUGAAAGGCACAUUGAUGAAGAGGCUCCAGAAUGACAGGCUCACUCCCGACGGUCAGAAAGCUCAUCUGGUACAGUGUCCUAUAAAUACCCACAAAUACUAAUGCAGCCACAGGAUCAGCUAACACAAUUGUUUUCUUCAGCUCUUCAAAAUAUGCUGAAAACGGAAACUUUUCUCUUUGCCACAUUGGCAAAGAGCUACCAUUUUCUUGAUGAGUUCCAGGGAAUUUAUGUUUCUCCUUGGACAUUCUUCCAAGACGAUCCAUAAGCUUAGCAGAGACAUGAGGUAGCCCCACAGUUGUUGCACCUCACAGUUUGCAUUAUGGCAAAAGAUAACGCCAGACUAAAAGAGGCAUCCCUGGGUGCUGAGGAACAGGCAACUCCCUGAGGCAGGUCCCACCACCAGGCUGACACCUUGGUGAGGUGUGCAGGACCAGCCCACACCAAGCUCCUCCCCAGUGCUCCACUCAGGGUGGCAGGUGCCAGAGCCCCUAUGGACAGAUCUGCCUUGCUGCCUCUCCUCCAGCAAGAAAUGGGCACCUGGCUUAGCCAAGGAGCCAGCUCACCUCCAGCCAUGCAGCUCUCCUGCCCCAGGGGUGUCAGGCCAGCAUACACAGGGGGCUUGAGCUUCCAUGUGGGUAUCCAAGCAAGACUAAGUAACAAAAAGGAGAUAAAAGAAAUGGUGGGGCCAGCUGACACAGAUCCUCAGUGUGGUACCAAACACAGCAAUGCCAGAGAGCUGUUGGGCUCAUUUUGCAGCACCCUGUGCUCGUAGCUGACACCACACAGGACCCCAGGCUGCUCCCCCCACACGCACAGCAGCUGCUGCCACAAACAGCCUUCCCAUUCUUGCCAGGGAGAUGGGCACAACCAUUCAUUCUGGUCACAGCCCUCACCUCAGUAUUCACUGGCACCUUUGGAACAGGGAACUGUGAGGACUUCACAUGGAUCACAUCACCUUGGGAUCAUCCUCAAACAUAGUGAGCCGCCAAGUCAGCUCCGUGCACACACAGAAGUGUCCAUCUCUCUCUUGCCUCCAAAGCUCGAGCAGUUCCUUGUGCUUCUAUGGCUCAUUAGAGUAACGAGGUCCAUGCUGGAGAGACAAGGUUGCUCAGGACACCGGCUCCUUCUCCCAGCCAGCACAGCCUGGGGAUGGAGGAACUGCUGCUGCAGCAGUUGGGAACAGCUCUGCUGCCAGGACUAACACAACCACCCUGGCUCCAUAGCAGCAUGCACCCUGCUCUGUCACGAGUCUUUGGGAGCACUGUCUGGCUUCCUAGAUCCUUCCUGGUCUGCAAAGACUAUGCGAAUUUGUGCGGAUGAGGAUGAAUAAAGCAUUUUUAAGGGGUUACUGAAGCAGCAUAUGAACUCUGCUACAUCUAGCUAAUGAACCGUUCUCAUCUAUAUGAGCUUUUUUUACCAGGGGACACAAAUCCCUAAUGAACUGAACCUCCCACACCUGAAAUCAUACCUAAUGUUACCAGUACACACAGGUUACUACAGCAGUGUGAUCUGUGUAAUACCACAGAUGCUAUUUGAACAGGGAUUUUUCAUCCAGCAUGCCAGCAAAGCCCCAAAUAUUUUCAUUCAAUUUCUGUGCAAUAAAAUGAUAAGAAAGAAGCCA